rnacentral:rRNA from 1 species
UACGGAGGGGGCUAGCGUUGUUCGGAAUGACCGGGCGUAAAGCGCGCGUAGGCGGAUCAGAAAGUUGGGGGUGAAAUCCCGGGGCUCAACCUCGGAAUGGCCUUCAAAACUCCUGGUCUUGAGUUCGAGAGAGGUGAGUGGAAUUCCGAGUGUAGAGGUGAAAUUCGUAGAUAUUCGGAAGAACACCAGUGGCGAAGGCGGCUCACUGGCUCGACACUGACGCUGAGGUGCGAAAGCGUGGGGAGCAAACAGG